AGAGUUUGAUCAUGGCUCAGGAUGAACGCUGGCGGCGUGCUAAAUACAUGCAAGUCGAACGAAGAGCCUUUGUAGCAAUACGAGGGUUUCUUAGUGGCGAACGGGUGCGUAACGCGUUGGUGACCUGCCCCAAAGUGUGGGAUAACAGUUCGAAAGGACUGCUAAUACCGCAUGUGAUCAUUGGUUCUAGAAUCCGAUGAUUAAAGCAGUAAUGCGCUUUGGGAGGGACCUGCGUCCCAUCAGCUAGUUGGUGAGGUAAUGGCCCACCAAGGCUACGACGGGUAGGGGACCUGAGAGGGUGGUCCCCCACACUGGCACUGAAACACGGGCCAGACACCUACGGGUGGCAGCAGUAGGGAAUAUUGGGCAAUGGGCGAAAGCCUGACCCAGCAACGCCGCGUGCACGAUGAAGGUCUUCGGAUCGUAAAGUGCUUUUCUGAGAGAUGAGAAAGGACAGUAUCUCAGGAAUAAGUCUCGGCUAACUACGUGCCAGCAGCCGCGA
rnacentral:rRNA from 1 species